rnacentral:rRNA from 1 species
UACGGAGGAUGCGAGCGUUAUCCGGAUUUAUUGGGUUUAAAGGGUGCGUAGGCGGCUUCUUAAGUCAGCGGUGAAAUUUUGCAGCUUAACUGUAACAGUGCCGUUGAUACUGGGGGGCUAGGAUUUGGUUGCUGUGGGUGGAAUGUGUGGUGUAGCGGUGAAAUGCUUAGAGAUCACACAGAAUAUCGAUUGCGAAGGCAGCUCACAAAGCCAAGAUUGACGCUGAGGCACGAAAGUGUGGGGAUCAAACAGGAUUAGA